rnacentral:lncRNA from 1 species
UGGGGUUCUUGAACUUCGACAUCUUGGUAAGUUAUAAUUGAAUUGACUGAUUUGUUUUGAGCUUUUUUUCUUAGUUAACUUUUAUUGAAGUUCAUGAAUUGAAUUCUUAUAUUGAACAGUAGAGAGGACCCUUAUGUAUUCAAUGCGGUUAUGGGGUGACAGCCUUCAAGUUCUUAAAGCUCUCCAUGGAUAGGGAAUUUGGCUUUGGCAUGCACUGCGCUUUGAACUUCUAGACUAUUUGAAUACGCAUAACUUUCUUUUUUUCCCUGAUGCACAAAGGUUAUAACCUGCUUGUCUUGUGCCUUACAUGUAUUUUCACUCUCGAUGUCAUUCCUACAUUUCUUUUUUUUUUUUGGUUUCUGUCUAAUGUAAGCAUUUGUUUUGUCUUUUUGUUUCUGUAUUUCCACUCUCAAAUACACAUAAUUAUAUUUAUUUAUUUUUCCCCUUUUUGUUUUUUUAUGUGCAGCUUUAUAAUUUGGGUAAGAGUAUUUCUUUCACUUGAUCAAACAAGUCUCUUCCAGGAAUUACAGGAAAAAAAAAAAGUUGUGGAAAAGAAAGAUUAGCCUAUAAUAUUGUAUUAUAAUUUAUAAGUCUCGAGUUAUGUGUUGAACUUGGAGUUCUAUAUAAGUUGUCGCUGAAAAUAUGUUCUUCUUUGGAGUUGCAGAUUAGUAGUGUUUGGUUGACUUUCAUUAGGAAAAAUACAUAUGUAUUUGUUUCUGAUAUCCACAUGAAAUUGUCAUGACUGAAGCUACUAGAUGUAUAUAGUGAUGCUGUCAUGACUGAAGCUAGCGGACGAUAAGGAAACGCAAGUAUUUUUUAACUUUCAAAAGAUACUAUCUAUCCAAUUCAUGUUCUUGGUGAUUGUUAAAGAUGUCUGGUGGCUUUCUUU